rnacentral:rRNA from 1 species
CCUACGGGAGGCAGCAGUGGGGAAUAUUGCACAAUGGGGGAAACCCUGAUGCAGCGACGCCGCGUGAGUGAAGAAGAAUUUCGGUACGUAAAGCUCUAUCAGCAGGGAAGAAAAUGACGGUACCUGACUAAGAAGCCCCGGCUAACUACGUGCCAGCAGCCGCGGUAAUACGUAGGGGGCAAGCGUUAUCCGGAUUUACUGGGUGUAAAGGGAGCGUAGACGGCAGCGCAAGUCUGGAGUGAAAUCCCAUGGCUUAACCAUGGAACUGCUUUGGAAACUGUGCAGCUAGAGUGCAGGAGAGGUAAGCGGAAUUCCUAGUGUAGCGGUGAAAUGCGUAGAUAUUAGGAGGAACACCAGUGGCGAAGGCGGCUUACUGGACUGUAACUGACGUUGAGGCUCGAAAGCGUGGGGAGCAAACAGGAUUAGAUACCCCUGUAGUC